UAAGGCCAAAGUGCGGCCAAGGUCACUUAAUAAAAUGGGGGAGGGGCAACCACUUAAUAAAAUAAGUAAGAAAAAUAGAAAAAUAAAAUAAAAAGAAAGGAGUUGAAAUGGGGGAGAGGCAGUACACACUCAUCCAUAAUUUAUUUUGAAAUUAAAAAAAAAACCCCGAACCUAUCACAAAGUGACAAGUGGCGAUGAGAAAAAACAAAAGAAAUGAAAAACAAGAUUCUCUCUUCUCUAAAAUAAACAAACAAAAU
rnacentral:lncRNA from 1 species